CAGUCGCCACGGUAAUACGUAGGGUGCGAGCGUCAAUCGGAAUUACUGGGCGUAAAGCGUGCGCAGGCGGUUAUAUAAGACAGAUGUGAAAUCCCCGGGCUCAACCUAGGACCUGCAUUUGUGACUGUAUAGCUAGAGUACGGUAGAGGGGGAUGGAAUUCCGCGUGUAGCAGUGAAAUGCGUAGAUAUGCGGAGGAACACCGAUGGCGAAGGCAAUCCCCUGGACCUGUACUGACGCUCAUGCACGAAAGCGUGGGGAGCAAACAGGAUUAGAGACCCCGGUAGUCCUUGUCUCUUAUAC
rnacentral:rRNA from 1 species